UGCUAUGAACAUAGUCCUAGGUCUCAUCGC
rnacentral:piRNA from 1 species